AUUGAACGCUGGCGGCAGGCCUAACACAUGCAAGUCGAACGAGUGGCGGACGGGUGAGUAAUGUCUGGGAAACUGCCCGCUGGAGGGGGAUAACUACUGGAAACGGUAGCUAAUACCGCAUACCAUCGGAUGUGCCCAGAUGGGAUUAGCUAGGAGGUGGGGUAAAGGCUCACCUAGGCGACGAUCCCUAGCUGGUCUGAGAGGAUGACCAGCCACACUGGAACGAGGAAACGGUCCAGACUCCUACGGCAGGCAGAAGUGGGGAAUAUUGCACAAUGGGGGAAAGCCUGAUGCAGCCAUGCCGCGUGUAUGAAGAAGGCCUUCGGGUUGUAAAGUACUUGCAGCGAGGAGGCGUUACUCGCAGAAGAAGCACCGGCUAACUCCGUGCCAGCAGCCGCGGUAAUAC
rnacentral:rRNA from 1 species